GAUGAAGAACGUAGCGAAUUGCGAUAAGUAAUGUGAAUUGCAGAUUUUCAGUGAAUCAUCGAAUCUUUGAACGCACCUUGCGCUCCUUGGUAUUCCGAGGAGCAUGCCUGUUUGAGUGUCAUUAAAUUCUCAACUUCAUCAUUUUUGUUGAAGCUUGGAUAUGGGGGUUGUGCCGAACACUUUGGUGGUCUGCUCCCCUUAAAUGAAUUAGCGAGUUCAAACUGAGUUCCGUCUAUUGGUGUGAUAAUUAUCUACGCUGUGGAUUGGACUUAGACUUGCUUCUAAACCGUCCGCAAGGACAAUUCUUGACAAUUUGACCUCAAAUCAGGUAGGACUACCCGCUGAACUUAAGCAUAUCAAUAAGCGGAGGA
rnacentral:misc_RNA from 1 species